rnacentral:rRNA from 1 species
CAAGGAGGUCACACCUGUUCCCAUGCCGAACACAGAAGUUAAGCUCCUUAGCGCCGAUGGUAGUCGGACUAACGUUCCGCUAGAGUAGGACGUUGCCAGGC